CCUCAGAAGGGAAUGCAGUCCUUAGACUGAAAAAGGUCCCCAGCCCUCAAUUACAUCCUUACAUUUGCUCCAGUAUAACUUUCUGCCUCUGGUCAUGACUAAUCCUCCGGGAAACAUGUUGAUGUGGAAAUGUGACAAAACAGACUUACGAAUGAACACAUAAGAAACUGAUAUGGCGUGGAAAUAAACCAAUCUAUUCAUUCCUAGGAAAUACAGCAUAAAAUUUUGCCGUGCCUCAAUUUUGCAAACUACGCAUUCAGCCAAAGCCAGAUAAAAAUAAUGUCUGUUGUUGCAAGACUAGAAAAGUCUACAUAGGCUCUGGAAAUGGUGUGUACCAAUUUUAUAAAAA